rnacentral:lncRNA from 1 species
ACAGACUACAAAGAUUAAAUUUGAUGUAGCUUACUACCAGGAAGAGAACAAAUCAAGUUCAGGCAUUAUCAUCAGAGACACAACUGGUGAAGUUCUACAUUCAAAAGUUCCAUUGCAUGUAAACAUACCGACUUCCUUUGCAGCCGAAGCUGUGGCGUGUAUGAAGGCAGUGGAAUUGGGAUAGUAUGUGGGUCUUUUAGUGGUGGAGGUUGAAAGUGAUGCUUUAACGGUGAUUAGAAAGAUGCAAAAAGACAUAAAUGAUAGAUCAAAAAUCGGGGCUUAAAUUUUCAAUAUCAGAUCUAUGAGCAAAAGAUUCGAAAAAUGUACCUUUAAACAUGCAUUAAGACAGGAGAAUAAAGCAACCCAUGUUAUGGCUAUAGAAGGUCUCAAAAGACAAGAAGAAUUUUACCUGAGAAAUGUAGUUCCUGAUUAUGCAGAACAAUCUGUGGUAUUUGAUAAACAAUGGUUAGGGCUUUCAGCGAAUAGAUGAUCAAUGACCUGAUUCAAAGGAGUUUCUGGAAAGACACACAAAGCUAUCAAACUGGAAAACGGGGGUUCUUGAGAACUUGCUGCUUCAGAUCCUUGGAUAAGAAGAGUGUCGAUUCAUGUGACUGGAUUCCUUUUCUGAUUAGGGUUUUAUUUAUGAUUUUUUUUGUUUUUUUACUUCAUUUAUUUGGUUGUCAUUCGGCUUUUUUGUUUUAGUCGUUUCUUUCUGUUU